rnacentral:lncRNA from 1 species
GAGCAGUGCAAAUGUAGUGGAUAAAAUGGUCAAUUUUUCCGUGCAGUACUGUACGGAUUAUACGCUCCUCACCGAUUAAGAGUUUAGCCGAGAGAUUGUCUCUUUCAUUUUCUGGCCUAGUGCUGUUCUUUUCUACUUUGCGCCGGUCAAACUGAAGGUCACAUCGCUACAGAAAGUAAACGAAGUAUAAGUAGUUUUCUUAAAAUUUGUAUUCUUUUGGUACGGUAACAUCGAGACGUUAAAUAUUAAAUUAACAAUAUUUUUCCGGUUAGUAAUAGUUCAGUUCUGCGCUUUUUUUGUGUACUUAAUACACAGGUAUUAUGAAGAACGUCAUGAUACCGACCCCUACAGGUCAUUUUCACCUCAAACAUACUAUCGUGUUUCAAACAUAGACUGUUGUGGUCUGUUGAUUUCCAAAAUAAUGAUUUUUUGGCUAAUAUUUAGGAUGACUUGUUUGACGAGACUUGAACAUUGACGAACCUUUGGUGUAAAUUAAAAUGAAUGGUUUGGUUAGCGCGUUUUAAUGAAUUAGGGAGCCGGACUAUAGUUACAAAUAUAAAAAAUGACGAAGAUCAGGAGGCACUACAUGCAGAAAUUGAAGAAGUGGUAAGUUUAGUGAUAGAGUAGGAAAACCUCAUAAUUGUAGGAGACUUCAACAAAGCGAAAUUAGGAAACCCUAAUUUCGAAAUUAGGGCCCCACAAAUUCACAAUCCGUCCCUGAUUUUUAAGAUUUUCACACACUUUUAUUUCAAAAGUAACAAUUCUUCAAAGAGACAGUAACUAAUUAUUAUUUCAAAUGAAAAAUAUCAAUUCAAUGUAAUAAAGGUAUAUUAGUCUUUCAUCAUUAAAGAAAUAUUUUUUGCAAGUAUUUUAUCUUUUAUUAAAACUCGUAAUUUUGAGUGAAUGUUUUUGAAAUGCGACCAAAUAGGUAUAAGAAAACGUCAAAAAUCAAAAGAUUAAAAUAGUGCUAGUCUACACCUUAACGGAGCGUUUCCAUGAGAUCCUCUGCGUUGCAGUAGUAGUGGUCUUAGAGGUUCUUACAAAUAUUUCAUACCAAUCUGCAUUUCCAGUAUUCAGCUAUGUUCAUUCUGCUUUGUUUUUAUUUAUCGUUAUUGUUACUGCUAUUUUUGUUAUCGUCUGUACGGUUUUUCGUCGAUUUAUUGAAAUUUGGAAAUGUCACACUUAAAUAAGUAAGCCCACGAAAUCAUUUUGAAGGUGAUAAAUUAUUUUACCUAAGAAAAGAAACUUUUACUCCCCGUUACUUGUGUUCAAGACAGUGUUGCAGCAACUACCGGUAUUUCUGUGAGAACAGUCAAAAAAAUAAUGACCAAACAAAAUCAGGGAAAUAUAAAAAAGGAAAUCCGAGUUCGAAUGAAGAAAAGAACAGUACAUAUGAAAGAAAUUUUAAAGCAUGAUGUGAGAGACGUAAUUUAUCAAAUGUACGAAAAGGAAUUUGUAACUUUGAAAAAGUUACAACUAAAAUUAGAAAAAACGUCUUUAGAGGCAUCAACUGGAUCUUUAACUGUUCUUCCGAAAGUAAUAGAGUUCAAAUUAAAAAACAAAACUGUAACAGAUGCGCUCUAUGUGAAAUGAAGGACGUCCGAAUGAAAACAGGGCUUUCAUUAAGGAAGUUCGUGGACAAUAAAACCUCGUUGAAUUCGAAAAAGUGCGUGUUCUUGGACGAAACAUGGAUAUUUUCUAGAGGUGGCAACAAACACACAUGGCAAAAGGAUGGUAUAAAAAGUGU